rnacentral:rRNA from 1 species
GACGAACGCUGGCGGCGUGCUUAACACAUGCAAGUCGAACGGAAAGGCCCUGCUUUUGUGGGGUGCUCGAGUGGCGAACGGGUGAGUAACACGUGAGUAACCUGCCCUUGACUUUGGGAUAACUUCAGGAAACUGGGGCUAAUACCGGAUAGGAGUUCCUGCUGCAUGGUGGGGGUUGGAAAGUUUCGGCGGUUGGGGAUGGACUCGCGGCUUAUCAGCUUGUUGGUGGGGGAGUGGCUUACCAAGGCUUUGACGGGUAGCCGGCCUGAGAGGGUGACCGGCCACAUUGGGACUGAGAUACGGCCCAGACUCCUACGGGAGGCAGCAGUGGGGAAUAUUGCACAAUGGGCGGAAGCCUGAUGCAGCAACGCCGCGUGCGGGAUGACGGCCUUCGGGUUGUAAACCGCUUUCGCCUGUGACGAAGCGUGAGUGACGGUAAUGGGUAAAGAAGCACCGGCUAACUACGUG